rnacentral:tmRNA from 1 species
GGGGAUGACGGGAUUUGACGGGAAAGGAGAUGCGCGCGUGCGGGGUCGGGCCUGGGUGUCACCCGCCAACGACAUUCAUCUCAUUAACUGCCAACGACAACGUUGCGGUUCGCCUGCCCGCUUUCGCGUUCGCGUAAAGUCGGCUGGCCAUCGGCCACCCCUUGCUUUCCGGGGGUAAACGCCGGUGUUAUAUAGGAAAGAUAAGCUGCUUACGGGUCUAGCCCUUGCCGGUUAGCAGACGAAAACCGAUUUGGGCUUUUCGCCAGUUUUUAACUGGCUACGCUCCGUAGGGCGCGCGCGUCUACCUCUUCCGCACGAGGGUUCGACUCCCUCCAUCUCCACCA